GAGUGGUCCAUAUGGAAGUAUCUGGCAGCUCAUACACUUCAUCAUUCCAAAUCAAACUGAACUCAUGAGAUGCUGUGAUAAAUCUCAGUGGUUUAAUUUGGUUUUAAAUAGAUAUAUCUAUAAAAUCAGUGAUUUGCAUGAAGAUACUUGGCUGCAUUGAUGCUAAGUGACACAAAAUUCUCUGACCCUGCUUUUUGUUAAGGUUUUUUUUCAGAGAAGGAGACCACUUCAGCAAAAGAAACAACCUCAGACUAAGUCUUGACCACAUGCAUUUAUAGAAGCAUUCCUUUAAGAUGAGCCAAGCUGUGUAAAGCCAAGCUUCUCCUGCAAGCAUACAGCUGAAAGGUGACCCAAGCUCCAGUCACCCAAGUCAUAGCCACCAAACAUCACCAGGAAAAGAAGAACCUUUCAAAGAGGCAAUAAAAAAAAGGCAGCUGAAGCCAUCAAACAGCUCCUCUUAAUUUGUCUUCUGAAAUGAAACUGAGCAAAAUGCUGUGUGUGAAGAGAUCUAUAAAGUGCUUCCAAAUGGAGGAGAAAUGAUAACUAUUGAACUGCUGGAAUUGGUAUUCCAAACCCAAGGCAUGCAGCCAACCUGGAAAAGAAAGGAGGGGAGAGAAAGAGACAAAGGUCAUGACAUUGGAGAAAGGGAUCUCUGCUUUGAACAUCUUGCGACAGUGCAUGAGCUGGACCAGCAGCCUGGCCAUCCAGACCAUUUUUACCUCAGCAAAACAUCAACCCAUCCAAGCCACGAAGAUCCAGCCUUCAAUGUCUUGUUUUGGUUUUCCUUCUCUAA